AUUGAACGCUGGCGGCAGGCUUAACACAUGCAAGUCGAGCGCGCGGCGGACGGGUGAGUAAUGUCUGAGAAACUGCCUGAUGGCGGGGGAUAACUACUGGAAACGGUAGCUAAUAUUGCAUAACAUCAGAUGUGCCCAGAUGGGAUUAGCUAGUAGGUGGGGUAAUGGCUCACCUAAGCGACGAUCCCUAGCUGGUCUGAGAGGAUGACCAGCCACACUGGAAAUGAGACACGGUCCUGACUCCUACGGGAGGCAGCAGUGGGGAAUAUUGCACAAUGGGCGCAAGCCUGAUGCAGCCAUGCCGCGUGUGUGAAGAAGGCCUUCGGGUUGUAAAGCACUUUCAGCGAGGAGGCGUUACUCACAGAAGAAACACCGGCUAACUCCGUGCCAGCAGCCGCGGUAAUUC
rnacentral:rRNA from 1 species